GCUAUACAUGCAGUCGAGCGGACCGACGGGAGCUUGCUCCCUUAGGUCAGCGGCGGACGGGUGAGUAACACGUGGGUAACCUGCCUGUAAGACUGGGAUAACUCCGGGAAACCGGGGCUAAUACCGGAUGCUUGAUUGAACCGCAUGGUUCAAUCAUAAAAGGUGGCUUUUAGCUACCACUUACAGAUGGACCCGCGGCGCAUUAGCUAGUUGGUGAGGUAACGGCUCACCAAGGCGACGAUGCGUAGCCGACCUGAGAGGGUGAUCGGCCACACUGGGACUGAGACACGGCCCAGACUCCUACGGGAGGCAGCAGUAGGGAAUCUUCCGCAAUGGACGAAAGUCUGACGGAGCAACGCCGCGUGAGUGAUGAAGGUUUUCGGAUCGUAAAACUCUGUUGUUAGGGAAGAACAAGUACCGUUCGAAUAGGGCGGCACCUUGACGGUACCUAACCAGAAAGCCACGGCUAACUACGUGCCAGCAGCCGCGGUAAUACGUAGGUGGCAAGCGUUGUCCGGAAUUAUUGGGCGUAAAGCGCGCGCAGGCGGUUUCUUAAGUCUGAUGUGAAAGCCCCCGGCUCAACCGGGGAGGGUCAUUGGAAACUGGGGAACUUGAGUGCAGAAGAGGAGAGUGGAAUUCCACGUGUAGCGGUGAAAUGCGUAGAGAUGUGGAGGAACACCAGUGGCGAAGGCGACUCUCUGGUCUGUAACUGACGCUGAGGCGCGAAAGCGUGGGGAGCGAACAGGAUUAGAUACCCUGGUAGUCCACGCCGUAAACGAUGAGUGCUAAGUGCUAGAGGGUUUCCGCCCUUUAGUGCUGCAGCAAACGCAUUAAGCACUCCGCCUGGGGAGUACGGUCGCCAAGACUGAAACUCAAAGGAAUUGACGGGGGCCCG
rnacentral:rRNA from 1 species